AUGAGGAAGGCCACGGGUGGGGAUCUUGUGAGACCAGCAGCCACUCGUUUUGCCACAGCCAUCCUCACACUUAGGAGUUUGGUCAAGAACAAGCCUGCAUUGAGGAGUUUAUUUACAUCUGAAAAAUGGGUUGGAAACAAGUUAGCAAAAACACAAGUUGGCUUGAAUGUGCAAGAGAUUAUACUUUCAACAGAGUGGUGGAGCGCAAUUGAGGACUGCCUUAGAGCUUAAACUCCACUUCUUAGAGUUCUUAGAGUAGCGGAUGGUGAUGAGAAGCCUGCCAUGCCAGAGAUUAAAGCACUUAUGAUUUAUGCAAAGGAGAGUAUCAAUCUAGGUUUCCCUCAACAAAACAAGCAACCAUUGCCCAAGAAGAUCUUGGCCAUUGUUGAUAAGCGUUGGGAGAAUCAAAUGGAUCAUCCAUUGCAUGGGGCUGUUCUAUUUUUGAACCCAGGAAAGUUAUUUCCUAUUGUAAGCAAAAAUGAUGAUGCCUUAGUUGGGCAGCUUAGGAGCUGCUUUAAUGAUGUGCUUGCAAAAAUGGUACUGGAUGCCAAUGUUCGAAAAAAUAUUGAUCAACAAUAUGUGCUCUAUGAGUGCCAGUGAGAAGGCUUUUCUAAUCCAUUCGCACUCAAGACCAUGAGCACAAGGAACCCUCGUAAGUCAUAUUAA
rnacentral:rRNA from 1 species